rnacentral:rRNA from 1 species
CAWGCAARUCGGAGCGGACUUWAWGMGRWGCUYGCWYCUCUGAUGGUUAGCGGCGGACGGGUGAGUAACACGUAGGCAACCUGCCCGUAAGACCGGGAUAACUACCGGAAACGGUGCUAAUACCGGAUAAUUUAUCGCUUCGCAUGGAGCGGUAAUGAAAGACGGAGCAAUCUGUCACUUCGGAUGGGCCUGCGGCGCAUUAGCUAGUUGGUGAGGUAAGGCUCACCAAGGCGACCAUGCGUAGCAGACCUGAGAGGGUGAACGGCCACACUGGGACUGAGACACGGCCCAGACUCCUACGGGAGGCAGCAGUAGGGAAUCUUCCGCAAUGGGCGAAAGCCUGACGGAGCAACGCCGCGUGAGUGAUGAAGGUUUUCGGAUCGUAAAGCUCUGUUGCCAGGGAAGAACGUCGGRUAUAGUAACUGCUAUCCGAGUGACGGUACCUGAGAAGAAAGCCCCGGCUAACUACGUGCCAGCAGCCGCGGUAAUACGUAGGGGGCAAGCGUUGUCCGGAAUUAUUGGGCGUAAAGCGCGCGCAGGCGGUCACUUAAGUGUGGUGUUUAAGGCUAAGGCUCAACUCUAGUUCGCACUGGAAACUGGGUGACUUGAGUGCAGUGAGGAAAGUGGAAUUGGACGUGUAGCGGUGAAAUGCGUAGAGAUGUGGAGGAACACCAGUGGCGAAGGCGACUUUCUGGGCUGUAACUGACGCUGAGGCGCGAAAGCGUGGGAGCAAACAGGAUUAGAUACCCUGGUAGUCCACGCCGUAAACGAWRAAUGSUAGGUGUUAGGGGUUUCGAUACCCUUGGUGCCGAAGUUACACAUAAG